rfam:Octopus bimaculoides Scaffold4505_contig_5, whole genome shotgun sequence.
AUCGCUUCUCGGCCUUUUGGCUAAGAUCAAAGUGUAGUAUAUGAUAUUAUCAGAUUAAUAUUUGAUGUGUUCCUAAUAUUGGAACAUCGAUAUUAAACUGUUUUUCUAUUACUGGCGAAGGUGUUGGAGCUUGCUCUCCCUUUUCUACGUGUGGACAUGUUAUUGCAGUAAGGAUAGGAUUUAACCCACCUCCG